GGUGAACGCUGGCGGCGUGCUUAAGACAUGCAAGUCGAACGCAGUCUUCGGACUGAGUGGCGCACGGGUGAGUAACACGUAACUGACCUACCCCCAAGUCGCGAAUAAACAGCCGAAAGGAUGGCUAAUACGUGAUGUGAUGAUCCGCUGGGGCGGAUCAUUGAAGACUUGAGCGCGUGGGGAUGGGGUUGCGUUCCAUCAGCAAGUUGGUAAGGUAAAGGCUUACCAAGGCAACGACGGAUAGUCGGCCUGAGAGGGUGGCCGGCCACAGGGGCACUGAGACACGGGUCCCACUCCUACGGGAGGCAGCAGUUAGGAAUCGUCCACAAUGGGCGCAAGCCUGAUGGAGCGACGCCGCGUGAGGGAUGAAGGUUCUCGGAUCGUAAACCUCUGAACCAACGACGAAAGACCCGACAGGGGAGAUGACGGUAGUUGAGUAAUAGCACCGGCUAACUCCGUGCCAGCAGCCGCAGUAACAC
rnacentral:rRNA from 1 species